rnacentral:rRNA from 1 species
UACAGAGGGGGCAAGCGUUAUUCGGAAUUAUUGGGCGUAAAGGGCGCGUAGGCGGCCUGGCGAGUGGAAGGUGAAAUCCCUCGGCUUAACCGAGGAACUGCCCUCCAAACUGCUUGGCUUGAGUCCGGGAGAGGUGAGUGGAAUUCCCAGUGUAGCGGUGAAAUGCGUAGAUAUUGGGAGGAACACCAGUGGCGAAGGCGGCUCACUGGACCGGAACUGACGCUGAGGCGCGAAAGCGUGGGGAGCAAACGGG